rnacentral:lncRNA from 1 species
AGAUUUGCUUCAAAAUCUCAUGCUUCCUUGUAUUGAUAUUGCCAUUUCUUUCUUUGUUCCAUACUUUCAUCUUGGAGCGGAGAUAACGAAGUUUUAAAACAAAGUUGGUGGCCACGUCAUCAGAACUAGGAGCGGCUGCCCACCAGUUCUAAACUAAAUCAUCAAAACCUGGAAUUGAUGUCUAGAAGUUUUCAAAGCGGAAGGGUUUUC